UACGUAGGGGGCAAACGUUGUCCGGAUUUAUUGGGCGUAAAGCGCGUGUAGGCGGCUGGGUAGGUCCGCUGUGAAAACUCGAGGCUCAACCUCGAGACGUCGGCGGAAACCAUCCAGCUAGAGUCCGGAAGAGGAGAGUGGAAUUCCUGGUGUAGCGGUGAAAUGCGCAGAUAUCAGGAAGAACACCCGUGGCGAAAGCGGCUCUCUGGGACGGUACUGACGCUGAGACGCGAAAGCGUGGGGAGCGAACAGG
rnacentral:rRNA from 1 species